AAAUUCGCCUUCAUGAAGCCGGAAUUGCUAGUAAUGGCAGGUCAGCAUACUGCCGUGAAUACGUUCCCGGGCCCUUGUACACACCGCCCGUCACACCAUGAGAGUUGGGAAUACCCGAAGCCUGUGAGCUAACUUUUAGAGGCAGCAGUCGAAGGUAGAAUCAAUGAUUGGGGUAAAGUCGUAACAAGGUACC
rnacentral:rRNA from 1 species